AAAAAAAAAAAAAAAAAAAAAAAAAAAAAAAAAAAAAAGAAAAAAAAGCUAAACCAAGACAACUGAACAUUAAGGGGAUAUGAAUAUGUGGAAGAAAAUAAAAGGAGAAUUUUCAUUCUGUAUAAAUUGACAGAUAUAUGACAGUAUAAACUAACUGAUUUAAGAUAAAACCUCUGGAAAAAUAUACCAGCAACAGAUUCCAGAUGUCUCUCCCCAUGAGUUGUCUUACCAGAUGGUGGAUGAGAUCUUUGUUUCUUAAUUUGUCUUUAUCUUCAGUGGUAACACAGCAUUCAGACAAGGGAAAAAAGGGUAUUUGUGAAGAGCUUGCUUGUUGGGACAAUAUGCUUAUUCUGUUCUAUGAUCAGAUAAGCUCUUAUUUAUUAUAAAUAGAAUGUAUUUGAAUUACUGUUAUAUGUUGAUCUCAUUGUGUCACUUCAGGUUUUGAAAUACUAGUAAGAAUUUCCUAUGCAUUAUGCAGCAUUAUUUGAAUUAUUCACAUGUGGCAAGUGGAGUUCUGCACUUUAAAAUGUUGCCUUUGCCUGAUGUUUAUAUUUAUUCUGUAUUUUUUGUGCAAUCCUAUGGCUUUGUAGGGGAAAAAAUGUGUAUUUGUUCACUGUACUGAAAGUUUUAGUAAGUGGACUUACUGUUGGAAAAAGGAACUUUAAAAUGACCCUGUUAAAAGUCUGUGCCUGAUUAUUCACUCAUGAAUGGAAAAAUUAUAAUGAUUUUAUGAACUUGAACAGAGACUUUUUAAUUAAAAAUAUUUACAGAUAAAUAUAAUUUUUUAUAUUUUAAUUGUGAUCAUGCAAUGCAAAUUAGCAAAAAGUAAUAAAAAUUCUUGCUAAAUAUCUAUGGCAUUACUGAGCAAAAGUGAACAUAACUAUUCUGGAUUAUUAAUUUAAAAAGAAAACAUAAGUCUUGAAAAACAAAACCCCAAAUUCUUUCAAAGAAUAUUCCAGUUCUAAAAGAAAAAAGUUCAGACAAGCUGUUAAAAAUAUUAUUUUAAGCAUUUCCAGGAACAAUCCAUAACAGAUGAUAAGGUGAGUGGCUUUUAAAAUUCUGGAUUUGUAUGAAUAAAUGGUGUUGGCUUAUCUGAAGCCCUGAGUGUAGAAGGGGUCAAUUCAUUUGGAAAAUUAUAGUGUAGAAAGUAUUAAAAAAAAAAAAAAAAAGCCAGUGGAUUUUGAAAAUUAGAGAAAGGACGGGGUAAAAUUAAUUGCAGAAGAGAUUUGAAAAGAGUGGUAGCAGAAUACAAAAUAUGGCAAAGCAGAAAUGAGAUAGAUUAGAGGAACUCAUAAAAAGAAGAUGUCAGAGAAGUUUUAGGUCAGAAACACUCAUUAAAGAAGACAUCUUCUCAGGCAAUGUUCCGUUAAGUCAUAGACCUCAUUCCUUCAGAGAGUCAUUGAGGUCCAAAAACUGGGCAGAUUUCCAAAGGAGUUACUUACAUGCUUAAUAAUACAAGCCCAAAUAGUUGUACCUGCUCAUAGUGUAAUUAUAUAACACUUUAAAACCUCUCGACCUCUGCUUUAAGAUUUAAAUCAGAAUUACCUGUAAGAGCUCCAGAAGAAAAGUAAUGCAAGGGCACAUUUUGUUUUACCGAUAAUUGUCCAAAGAAACGUUUGGCACUGGCCAGGACAGAGGCAGAAUUAGUCUGGUCUCAGGGAAGAAUUUCUGUUCCUGCAUACCCCAGACACCCUCCCCUGUCAUGUACCUGUGACUGAGUCCAACACAGGCUAAACUUCUGGUAUGACUGAAAUGACUGAGUAUAAGCUGUUUUAAAAAUCAGAUUGUUUCGAAGUUAAGUAUAUUGAAGAGACCACAGGACAUUUUAAGUUGCACAAUCAUGUAUCUAUUACUGAACUUUUAAGUGCUAGGAACUUUGGCUUAAAGCUGUGGGGUUUUUAAGCCUUUGCACUAUACGUGCAAGAACUUGUGCUUCUCUCAACAAAAAACAGCAAAUUACGUUUGCAAGGUUUUCUGUACAAAAAAGAGUAAUGCCAUCAACAAAAACAAUUCAUGGGCAGCCAAAAGGACAUUAGUGACACUAAAAACUGUUGAUUAAAAUCUGUUGUUUAAAGUUAAUAGAACUACUAGUUUUUGUCGAAAGUCUGAGAAAUAUUUUUGGAGGGCAGUCUUCUGGAAACUUAAAUGGAAAUUAUUCUUUCUUAGAAAAUGCCCAGAAUCAGAGUUGUGCUCCAACCAAGGAGGUUCCCUGGGGCUUUUGCAGAGGCAGUCACUUCUAUAGAAGUCAAUACAAUGGUCAUGCUUAGAUUCACACUUCUUUACCCUGUCAUGACUCAGAAGUAUGUAUUAGCUUUAAUUCUGGCUUUGGUUUGUGGUUUCUUGUACACUUGGUUUUGGUUUGGAAAUAGUUACGCUGGAGAAGUGAAGCUGGAAGAAGGAUAAGUUUGAAAGGCAAUCUUACUUACACAGA